ACUGGGACUGAGACACGGCCCAGACUCCUACGGGAGGCAGCAGUGGGGAAUUUUGGACAAUGGGGGAAACCCUGAUCCAGCAAUGCCGCGUGCAGGAUGAAGGCCUUCGGGUUGUAAACUGCUUUUGCACGGAACGAAAAGUCUUGGGUUAAUACCCUGGGAUCAUGACGGUACCGUAAGAAUAAGCACCGGCUAACUACGUGCCAGCAGCCGCGGUAAUA
rnacentral:rRNA from 1 species